CCCUUAGAUGUUCUGGGCCGCACGCGCGCUACACUGACAGAGCCAGCGAGUUCUUUUUCCUUGGCUGAAAAGUCAUGGGUAAUCUUGUGAAACUCUGUCGUGCUGGGGAUAGAGCAUUGCAAUUAUUGCUCUUCAACGAGGAAUUCCUAGUAAGCGCAAGUCAGCAGCUUGCGUUGAUUACGUCCCUGCCCUUUGUACACACCGCCCGUCGCUACUACCGAUUGAAUGGUUUAGUGAGAUCUUCGGAUUGGCGCCACUGCAGCUCAGCAAUGGGCUUGGUGGAUGCCGAAAAGUUGAUCAAACUUGAUCAUUUAGAGGAAGUAAAAGUCGUAACA
rnacentral:rRNA from 1 species